GGCUCUGUGAUUGUAUGCUCAAUUCGGGCAAUAUACGCUAUUCUGAAAUCAUUCCUACAUGAGGUGAAAUCUGAAAAAUAUGAGAGCU
rnacentral:snoRNA from 1 species